rnacentral:rRNA from 1 species
GAUGAACGCUGGCGGCGUGCUUAACACAUGCAAGUCGAACGGAAAGGCCCUGCUUUUGUUGCUUUCUCGUUUGUCGAGCGGGUGAGUAACACGUGAGUAACCUGCCCUUGUCUUUGUGAUAACUUCACGAAACUGGGGCUCAUACCGCAUAGAAUCUCCUGCUCCAUGUUGUGGGUUGGAGAGUGUCGGCGGUGCUGGAUGGACUCGCGGCUUAUCAGCUUGUUGGGGGUGUAGUGGCUUACCACGGCUUUGACGGGUAGCCGGCAUGGGAGGGUGACCGGCCACAAGGGGACUGAGAUAGGGCGCAGAAUACUACGGGAGGCAGCAGUGGGGAAUAUUGCACAAUGGGGGGAAGCCUGAUGCAGAAACGAUGCGUGCGGGAUGCAGGCUUUCGGGUUGUAAACCGCUUUCGCAGGUGAUGAAGAGGGAGUGACGGUAACGGGUAAAGAAGCAACGGCUAACUACGUG